rnacentral:SRP_RNA from 1 species
UGUGAACUCCCCCAGGGCCGGAAGGCAGCAAGGGUCAACAGGCUCUGGCGGGUGCGCGGGGUCCCCUCAUGUC